AGAGUUUGAUCAUGGCUCAGGAUGAACGCUGGCGGUAUGCCUAACACAUGCAAGUCGUACGAGAGUUUUUAACUCUAGUGGCGGACGGGUGAGUAACACGUGAGAAUUUGCCUUUAGGAGGGGACAACAAUUGGAAACGAAUGCUAAUACCCCAUAUGCUUUUGAGUGAAAUGGAUUUUAUCCGCCUAAAGAGAAGCUCGCGGCUGAUUAGCUUGUUGGUAAGGUAAGAGCUUACCAAGGCGACGAUCAGUAUCUGGUUUGAGAGGACGAUCAGACACACUGGAACUGAGACACGGUCCAGACUCCUACGGGAGGCAGCAGUGGGGAAUUUUCCGCAAUGGGCGAAAGCCUGACGGAGCAAUACCGCGUGAGGGAAGAAUGCCUAUGGGUUGUAAACCUCUUUUUUCAGGGAGGAAUAACAUGACGUGUACCUGAAGAAUAAGCAUCGGCUAACUCCGUGCCAGCAGCCGCGGUAAGACGGAGGAUGCAAGUGUUAUCCGGAAUCACUGGGCGUAAAGCGUCUGUAGGUGGUUUAACAAGUCAACUGUUAAAUCUUGAUGGCUCAACUUCAAAAUCGCAGUCGAAACUAUUAGACUAGAGUAUAGUAGAGGUAAAGGGAAUUUCCCAGUGGAGCGGUGAAAUGCGUAGAUAUUGGAAAGAACACCGAUGGCGAAAGCACUUUACUGGGCUAUUACUAACA
rnacentral:rRNA from 1 species